rnacentral:rRNA from 1 species
CCUACGGGAGGCAGCAGUGAGGAAUAUUGGUCAAUGGGCGCAAGCCUGAACCAGCCAAGUAGCGUGAAGGAUGACUGCUCUAUGGGUUGUAAACUUCUUUUAUAAAGGAAUAAAGUGAGGCACGUGUGCCGUUUUGUAUGUACUUUAUGAAUAAGGAUCGGCUAACUCCGUGCCAGCAGCCGCGGUAAUACGGAGGAUCCGAGCGUUAUCCGGAUUUAUUGGGUUUAAAGGGAGCGUAGGCGGGUUUUUAAGUCAGUUGUGAAAGUUUGCGGCUCAACCGUAAAAUUGCAGUUGAUACUGGCAGUCUUGAGUACAGUUGAGGUAGGCGGAAUGCGUGGUGUAGCGGUGAAAUGCUUAGAUAUCACGAAGAACUCCGAUUGCGAAGGCAGCCUGCUAAGCCGCAACUGACGUUGAUGCUCGAAAGUGUGGGUAUCAAACAGGAUUAGAUACCCCUGUAGUC